AGAGAGAGAGACAUGGAGCUGCUUUCUCCGGCAGAGGCUGUGAUAGGUUUCAGAGAGCGGCGCUCAGAGCCGGUGUGUGGGAGCCUCGCUGGUAGAAAGGAGCGGAGAGAAUUCACAAGUCCCGGCUAGAGGUACUCAUGGAGUUCCUGACUCAAUAGAUUUGCCAACUGUUGGUUGGGACGAUGGUUGGUCAGCCAGAAAGACAAAGUCAUGGAGUCUUCAAUCAAUCCUGCUGCCAGGGUUCCCAGUGUGUUGUUUAUCCUAUUGGUGAGCUGCGGGGUGGGGUCAAACACCACGCAAUUUCAUCCACAGAUGCCUCAGGGAAAGACAACGGAACGAGGACAUGCCGUAACCCAAAGGACUAGCCACACUACCAUACGUCAAGAGCAUUUCCGAACUGACAGCCAGACUGCUGCGACCAAUAGGACUCAUAACAGCACACAAACAAACAGCCACUCUCAGACAACAACUCACCAGGACAAAGGACCCGAUACCCAGCAUGAGUAAAACCAAUGUAGUGUACAAAAUCCCAUGCAAGGACUGCACAAAACACUACAUAGGACAAACAGGAAGACAGCUAACGAUCCGCAUUCAUGAACAUCAACUAGCCACGAAACGACACGACCAGCUAUCCUUAGUAGCCACUUACUCCUAUGACAAGCAAAGUGAGUUCGACUGGGACAACACUUCUAUUAUAGGACAAGACAAACAGAGAACAGCCAGGGAAUUCCUAGAGGCAUGACACUCAACCACAGUUUCAAUCAACAAACACAUCGACUUGGACCCAAUAUGCCGGCCACUGCAGCGGACAGCUGGAACUGACAACCGGAAGCGGCAGAGACAAGCCACUAUAAAUGCCGGAGGAAACAUCACAAAGGUGCUUCACAGGAGGCUCCCACGCACUGAGGAUGUCACCUAGACAGGGACGAAACGUCUGCAACACAAAUUCCCAGCUUGGCGAACAGAACCAUAACAACGAGCACCCGAGCUACAAAUCUUCUCCCAAACUUUGAAACCCUUUAGACUCUACAAAGCUCCGUCAUGAACAAGCCCCCAUCUCGCUAUUUCCUUUGCCUUCUUCAGUGUCUGCAACUCGCUGUAUCUACCAGUAACGCUCUUUAGUUGCUGCAGGUCUGCCUAACUCCCCAGAUAAUCUGUUCAUCCCCUACAGCUCCCUCAAUCACUGUAACACCCUCUGCUCUGUCUAAUCCUCCUCUUUCCCACUGUCUUCCAGGCACAACGGUGAUCCUGUAAGAGAGCAGUGCGGAAUGGGAUGUUAUAAAUCUCAGCUGACGCUUGAUGACUGCCAUCACCUGGGAGUCACA